rnacentral:lncRNA from 1 species
AUAAAUAAUUUUUAUUGGGACUUGAUUGACCAAAUCAUUUUAUUUGGGUUUAUUUUGCAAUUGACAAAAUAUGAAGGUUAAAUUGGAUACAUUUCAAAGUUUGGAAUUUACUUAUAUAUUUUUGGAAGUUUAGGAUUAAAUGUGAUAUAAAAAUGGAGUAGGAGGACUUUCCUUGCAAUUUUUGAAUAAGUGGAAUUUAUAGUCAACAUUUGACCCAUUUUUCACUCCAAAUCACACACACACACAUAGUGAGAAAACGGCAGCAAGCUGGGACCGAAAAAGAGAGGAAAAAUUAGGGGAAAAAGGGAAGAAAAAGGGAAAGAAGGAAGGAAAGAAGAAAAGGGAAGAAAAGGAAAAGAGGUAAGACUAAUUUCUUCAAGCUUGGGUUGAAUUUUUCCAUUUUUUUCAAGUGAUAAAGUAUGAAUUAUGUUAAAAUUCUAGGGUUUUAUUUUGGCUCGAAAUUUUUAGAUUUUUUUGAGAGGAAUACUACUUGGAGCUCAAGUUAUUGAUUCUUGAAUUUCUAUCUAGAUUAAGGUAAGGAGAUGUCAAUUUUUUUGGGGAAACCCUAGAAUUCGAUUUUGGGAUUUUUGAUUAAUUAAUUGUGAAAAUUAUUAUAUAAAUGGAAUAUUUCACUCGGGAGUUGAUUUUAUGGAACAAAUGUAUAUUAAAUGGGUGGAAUUGUGGUUACUAGUUUCACUAGAUUGGAGACUAAAAUUAGUUUUAAACUUGGGAAGAAGGUUUGGUUGAUGAAUUAAUUAUUAGAAAAGGGAUUAGAAAGUGGGAUUAGCUCCAAUUGAUCAAAAGAAUAUUUGGGAAAUUCAUUUGAGCAUCGACCAAUUUUAGUUAAGUAUUAUAGAAGUAGAUCUUAAAGUUUCUUAAUUUAAUAGUGGUUGAUUAGUCAUCUUGUUAUAUAUUUCAGGUGGUGACGAGAAGAUUGGAAGAGCCUAUC